UAGCUUGCUACCUGACCUAGCGGCGGACGGGUGAGUAAUGCUUAGGAAUCUGCCUAUUAGUGGGGGACAACAUUCCGAAAGGAAUGCUAAUACCGCAUACGCCCUACGGGGGAAAGCAGGGGAUCUUCGGACCUUGCGCUAAUAGAUGAGCCUAAGUCAGAUUAGCUAGUUGGUGGGGUAAAGGCCUACCAAGGCGACGAUCUGUAGCGGGUCUGAGAGGAUGAUCCGCCACACUGGGACUGAGACACGGCCCAGACUCCUACGGGAGGCAGCAGUGGGGAAUAUUGGACAAUGGGCGAAAGCCUGAUCCAGCCAUGCCGCGUGUGUGAAGAAGGCCUUUUGGUUGUAAAGCACUUUAAGCGAGGAGGAGGCUACUUGGAUUAAUACUCUAGGAUAGUGGACGUUACUCGCAGAAUAAGCACCGGCUAACUCUGUGCCAGCAGCCGCGGUAAUACAGAGGGUGCGAGCGUUAAUCGGAUUUACUGGGCGUAAAGCGUGCGUAGGCGGCUUUUUAAGUCGGAUGUGAAAUCCCUGAGCUUAACUUAGGAAUUGCAUUCGAUACUGGGAAGCUAGAGUAUGGGAGAGGAUGGUAGAAUUCCAGGUGUAGCGGUGAAAUGCGUAGAGAUCUGGAGGAAUACCGAUGGCGAAGGCAGCCAUCUGGCCUAAUACUGACGCUGAGGUACGAAAGCAUGGGGAGCAAACAGGAUUAGAUACCCUGGUAGUCCAUGCCGUAAACGAUGUCUACUAGCCGUUGGGGCCUUUGAGGCUUUAGUGGCGCAGCUAACGCGAUAAGUAGACCGCCUGGGGAGUACGGUCGCAAGACUAAAACUCAAAUGAAUUGACGGGGGCCCGCACAAGCGGUGGAGCAUGUGGUUUAAUUCGAUGCAACGCGAAGAACCUUACCUGGUCUUGACAUAGUAAGAACUUUCCAGAGAUGGAUUGGUGCCUUCGGGAACUUACAUACAGGUGCUGCAUGGCUGUCGUCAGCUCGUGUCGUGAGAUGUUGGGUUAAGUCCCGCAACGAGCGCAACCCUUUUCCUUAUUUGCCAGCGGGUUAAGCCGGGAACUUUAAGGAUACUGCCAGUGACAAACUGGAGGAAGGCGGGGACGACGUCAAGUCAUCAUGGCCCUUACGACCAGGGCUACACACGUGCUACAAUGGUCGGUACAAAGGGUUGCUACCUAGCGAUGGGAUGCUAAUCUCAAAAAGCCGAUCGUAGUCCGGAUUGGAGUCUGCAACUCGACUCCAUGAAGUCG
rnacentral:rRNA from 1 species